AUACACAUAUAUACACUCUAUUCUAUGUAUAUGUAAUAACUCAAUUUUUUAUUUUUUAUUUUAAAAAGAUUUUGGGCCGGGCCGGUUAACCGGCGGGCCUAGACCGGGCUAGGUUCGGGCCGGGUUAACUGAGCCCAAAUAAAAAAAUAACCGGCCCGAGACCCGGAACCCUAAAGCCCUAGGGCUUACCGAGCCGGUUCCUUUAGGUGGGCCGGGUAGGGCCGGGUUGGCCCGACCCACUUGACAGGCUUAACCCAGGCAAAGUAUAGGUCCUAUAUUAUGAUGAACAUUUUUCUAAAUAUUAUAUACGAUGCUAAUAAGGUUGGUGCAAAAGUUAUCAGUUCAUAUCAUAUAUGUGUUGCUGGUCGGCUCAUACGUUUUUCACUUUACCAUUUGACUCAUAUGAGCUUCUGUAUUUGUCCAACUGUUAUUCUAUCUGCUUUCAUACCAGUACAUAUUGUUUAUAUAUUGACGUCUCAGGCCCACCAUAUUUUAUUAAUACAGGCUCAGAUCCUCAGGAUAGCAGACGUCCUCGUUAGGCUCUAUUGCCAUUUUCAGCUGAUAUUUUGAGAGAUGACAUGGAAGUUCUUGAUGAGCCAUUGCAAAUUUUCUGCGAGUCAUUGGAGUGGAUAGACCUUACAAGGAAAAACUUCGAUUUGAAAUGCAUAUAGCAAAGCAAUGUGUGCCAAGUUUGUCAAAUGAAUUGACGAAAAGAAGAAAACACUCCAUCCUGAUAAAGAAUCUUGUUGAUAUAUUGGGACUUUGGAGUUUUCAUAGUAAAUUUUGCUGAGUUUCUUGGUGAUGGACUUUCGGUUUCUUUAUCUAAUUUUAAUGCAAAAUAUAAUCGGAAGAGAUACGUAACACUCUUACGAAUCUAUGGAGUCGCCAACGGUAGGAAAGGAUAUGCUAGCAACAAUGAAGACCCACCAAGACUAAGACCAAAUUCACCGACUGACGAAUCAACUAUUGUUGCCUUAGAGUAGUUACAAAGUUUCUGACAUCUUUCUUGUGAACAGUAGUAUCUUAGCGACAUGAAUUGUUGUUUUAAGUUAUAUGCAAUUGUUUUUUGGACAAA